rnacentral:rRNA from 1 species
ACGGGAGGCAGCAGUAAGGGAUAUUGGGCAAUGGGGGGAACCCUGACCCAGCCAUGCCGCGUGAGGGAAUGAGGCCCUACGGGUCGUGAACCUCUUUUGCCUGGGGAUAACCCCUCCCGCGCGACGGGGGGCUGCAGGUACCAGGCGAAUAAGCAUCGGCUAACUCCGUGCCAGCAGCCGCGGUAAUACGUAGGGAGCAAGCGUUAUCCGGAUUUACUGGGUGUAAAGGGCGUGUAGGCGGGACUGCAAGUCAGAUGUGAAAGCACGAGGCUCAACUUCGUGUCUGCAUUUGAAACUGUAGUUCUUGAGUGUUGGAGAGGCUAACGGAACUCCUAGUGUAGCGGUGAAAUGCGUAGAUAUUAGGAAGAACACCAGUGGCGAAGGCGGUUAGCUGGACAAUAACUGACGCUGAGGCGCGAAAGCGUGGGUAGCAAACAGGAUUAGAUACCCUGGUA